rnacentral:rRNA from 1 species
GACAGAGGAUGGCAAGCGUUAUCCGGAAUGAUUGGGCGUAAAGCGUCUGUAGGUGGCUUUUCAAGUCCGCCGUCAAAUCCCAGGGCUCAACCCUGGACAGGCGGUGGAAACUACCAAGCUGGAGUACGGUAGGGGCAGAGGGAAUUUCCGGUGGAGCGGUGAAAUGCAUUGAGAUCGGAAGGAACACCGGUGGCGAAAGCGGCGCGCUGGACCUCUUCUGACGCUGAGGCGCGAAAGCCAGGGGAGCAAACGGGG